UACGUAGGCAGCAAGCGUUGUUCGGAGUUACUGGGCGUAAAGAGUGCGUAGGCGGUCUUUUAAGUUUGGUGUGAAAUCUCCCGGCUCAACUGGGAGGGUGCGCCGAAAACUGGAAGGCUUGAGGAUGGGAGAGGCAUGCGGAAUUCCUGGUGUAGCGGUGAAAUGCGUAGAUAUCAGGAGGAACACCUGCGGUGUAGACAGCAUGCUGGACCAUUUCUGACGCUGAGGCACGAAAGCGUGGGUAGCAAACAGGAUUAGAUACCCUGGUAGUCCACGCCCUAAACGAUGCAUACUUGGUGUGAGCCAUUCAUUUGGUUCGUGCCGGAGCUAACGCGUUAAGUAUGCCGCCUGGGGAGUACGGUCGCAAGGCUGAA
rnacentral:rRNA from 1 species